ACCAUAUGCCACAACUUUAUAGCUUUUUGUUGAGACACCUCAUUCACCACCAUACCUUUCAAUCAUACCAUUCUCUGCAAUCAUACCAUACACCUCAUUCAUCACCAUACCUUUCUCUACAAAGUCAUUUCACUUCAAUAAAGGAUCUAUCUUUUCCCUCACUUAGCAUUUUCGAUCAAUCUCAUUUCUCCCUCAAGUUACUCUCUAGUUCCAACAAACCCAAAGAAAUCCAAGUGCAGAGCUCAGCCAUAUUGCGAAUGGAUCAAAUUGCCACAAAACUCAGAUUUCAGCAACUCAAACCAGAGGCUUUGAGCAAUCAAAAGGAUUAGCACUGCUAUUCCGAUUCAGAGAUAAGGUUAAACGACAGGCUUUGCCUAUCCAGGUUGAGCAGUUGAUGGAAUGGAAUGAUGUUGAGCGGGUGUUCCUUUGACAUUUCAAGAAAUAUAACCUUGAGUAUACAUCUUCAUAUGUAUAUCUCACACGUUUUUCCGCUGCAAAACACUUUGAUUAGGAUAACUUUAUGUUAUGAAAUUGUGACACGUGUUAUUGGGUAAACCACCUUAAUCAGUUCUCUUUUAUGUGUAUGUUUUAUAAGUAUCCAAAUGAUCAUAUAUGAUCCUAGCUUUUUAUCUAU